AUGUUUUCACUUUUACCUUCAAACCACUUUGGCAGUACCUAAGAUUUCAGUUGUAGAGGGGGAGCACCAAUUUUCUCACGUUGCCUGAGAUGACUGAUAAAGAAGACAACAAGUAUUCUGGACUGCCACAUGAAGUUGUCUCCAUACAUUCUUCCAUCACUGUUCAAGGCUAUCUAUUGGUGCAAAACAUGCAGCUGCUCAGAAUAGAGAGGAGGUAAUGAUGCAUAACAGACCGCUGCCCCUGGAGCUCUUUCAGGCUGUGGACCACAAAAUCCCAGUUUCCAGCUCUGAGAAAUAAUCAGCUACAGUUCUGUUGGUUCUUAGGGACAAGUGAAGUUCAUGAUGACCUGCUGAUGUCUGGAUUGUCAGCUGCCCACCACUGUCUGUCUUUUCCACUGGCUGUCCCCUGCCACCCCAUGCCACCAGCUGGCUGAGAGCACUGAGCUCAUCAUGCAGCGCUGCCACAACCCUUCUGGAGGGCCUGACAAGCAUUGAGAAGCAAAGCUGAAACAUUAUUUCUACUUCAUAACAGGACAGAGUUAACAGGAGAAGAAGCACUGAGCCAUAGGGAAUGUGCAUUGGCAUUUAUAGUUCCUUCUGCAGAUGCAUCCUGUAUGAAAUGUGAGUCUCGUCGCUGCCUCCUUGAGUUUGAUGAAAGAGAUAGUGGGACUUCAUUUUUUAUUUUAAAUGUAAUUUGGCUCUCUGGAUAUACACUGACAUGUAGACUAAGAGAAAAGGAAGAUAAUUACAAAAGCUAAUUAAAAUAUCUUCCACAUAAACCAGAGAUUUACACAGAAUUUCUUCCAGAAGAAAUUGCUUUGUGCUUGGUUUGGCUUAAUAAAAUUUAUGUUUUAUUUUUGAUGGACUUUUUAAGGCUACUUUGCAAAUAUGUAUUUGCAUUCUAAUUUUAAUAAUCACAGUAAUCUGAACAUUCACUUUUUUUUUGCCUAAGGGGUAAAAAUCUAAAUGUGGCAGAAAAUGUGUCUUUUAACAGUGAGCCUCUGUAACUGUUUCCUACCCGCCACCACUGAAAAGGUAAUUCUUUUUAAGGAAUAAACCCAAAUUCAUGAAACCAAAGACAUUCACAGUCAAGACAUUGACUCUUUUUUUUCUCUUAGCCCAAUACUAUUUGUUUAUGUAUUACAGCAUCUGCUGAACCUUAUGUAAGACCUGUUGCAAGAACUUGUGAUAUCUGAUGAAUAAAGGACAAAGUCUCAGUUUAGUUUUGAA